UACGGCGAGUGAAGCGGCAAAAGCUCAAAUUUGAAAUCUGGUACCUUCGGUGCCCGAGUUGUAAUUUGGAGAGGGCAACUUUGGGGCCGUUCCUUGUCUAUGUUCCUUGGAACAGGACGUCAUAGAGGGUGAGAAUCCCGUGUGGCGAGGAGUGCGGUUCUUUGUAAAGUGCCUUCGAAGAGUCGAGUUGUUUGGGAAUGCAGCUCUAAGUGGGUGGUAAAUUCCAUCUAAAGCUAAAUAUUGGCGAGAGACCGAUAGCGAACAAGUACAGUGAUGGAAAGAUGAAAAGAACUUUGAAAAGAGAGUGAAAAAGUACGUGAAAUUGUUGAAAGGGAAGGGCAUUUGAUCAGACAUGGUGUUUUGUGCCCUCUGCUCCUUGUGGGUAGGGGAAUCUCGCAUUUCACUGGGCCAGCAUCAGUUUUGGUGGCAGGAUAAAUCCAUAGGAAUGUAGCUUGCCUCGGUAAGUAUUAUAGCCUGUGGGAAUACUGCCAGCUGGGACUGAGGACUGCGACGUAAGUCAAGGAUGCUGGCAUAAUGGUUAUAUG
rnacentral:rRNA from 1 species